GAUGAAGAACGUAGUGAAAUGCGAUAAGUAAUGUGAAUUGCAGAAUUCAGUGAAUCAUCGAAUCUUUGAACGCACAUUACGCCCCUUGGUAUUCCGAGGGGCAUGCCUAUUCGAGCGUCAUUAUCACCCCUCAAGCCUAGCUUGGUGUUGAGGCCUGCUGUCAAGGCAGCCUCUAAAAUCAGUGGCAGUGCUGUCAGGCUCUAAGCGUAGUAAAUCUAAUCGCUAUAGACACCUGGUGGACACUCGCCAGAACCCCCCCAUUUUUUAAUGAUUGACCUCGGAUUAGGUAGGGAUACCCGCUGAACUUAAGCAUAUCAAUAAGCGGAGGA
rnacentral:misc_RNA from 1 species